GCUGAACUUAAGCAUAUCAAUAAGCGA
rnacentral:rRNA from 1 species